UACGUAGGGUGCAAGCGUUGUCCGGAAUUAUUGGGCGUAAAGAGCUCGUAGGCGGUCUGUCGCGUCUGCUGUGAAAACCUAGGGCUUAACUCUGGGCGUGCAGCGGGUACGGGCAGGCUAGAGUGCGGUAGGGGAGACUGGAAUUCCUGGUGUAGCGGUGAAAUGCGCAGAUAUCGAGGAGGAACACCGGUGGCGAAGGCGGGUCCCUGGGCCGUAACGUGACGCUGAGGAGCGAAAGCAUGGGGAGCGAACGAGG
rnacentral:rRNA from 1 species